GUGGCCGUAGCUCAGCUCGGUGAGAGCGCCUGGCUGUGGCCCAGGAGGUCGCGGGUUCGAAUCCCGUCGGUCACCCCA
rnacentral:tRNA from 1 species